ACGAACGCUGGCGGCGUGCUUAACACAUGCAAGUCGAACGGAAAGGCCCUGCUUUUGUGGGGUGCUCGAGUGGCGAACGGGUGAGUAACACGUGAGUAACCUGCCCUUGACUUUGGGAUAACUUCAGGAAACUGGGGCUAAUACCGGAUAGGAGCUCCUGCUGCAUGGUGGGGGUUGGAAAGUUUCGGCGGUUGGGGAUGGACUCGCGGCUUAUCAGCUUGUUGGUGGGGUAGUGGCUUACCAAGGCUUUGACGGGUAGCCGGCCUGAGAGGGUGACCGGCCACAUUGGGACUGAGAUACGGCCCAGACGCCGACGGGAGGCAGCAGUGGGGAAUAUUGCACAAUGGGCGGAAGCCUGAUGCAGCAACGCCGCGUGCGGGAUGACGGCCUUCGGGUUGUAAACCGCUUUCGCCUGUGACGAAGCGUGAGUGACGGUAAUGGGUAAAGAAGCACCGGCUAACUACGUG
rnacentral:rRNA from 1 species